rnacentral:rRNA from 1 species
AGAGUUUGAUCAUGGCUCAGAUUGAACGCUGGCGGCAUGCCUUACACAUGCAAGUCGAACGGCAGCGCGGGGCAACCUGGCGGCGAGUGGCGAACGGGUGAGUAAUAUAUCGGAACGUGCCCUGGAGUGGGGGAUAACGCAGCGAAAGUUGCGCUAAUACCGCAUACGAUCUAAGGAUGAAAGCGGGGGAUUCGCAAGAACCUCGUGCUCCUGGAGCGGCCGAUAUCUGAUUAGCUAGUUGGUGGGUAAAGGCCUACCAAGGCAUCGAUCAGUAGCUGGUCUGAGAGGACGACCAGCCACACUGGAACUGAGACACGGUCCAGACUCCUACGGGAGGCAGCAGUGGGGAAUUUUGGACAAUGGGCGAAAGCCUGAUCCAGCAAUGCCGCGUGAGUGAAGAAGGCCUUCGGGUUGUAAAGCUCUUUUGUCAGGGAAGAAACGGUAUGGGCUAAUAUCCCGUACUAAUGACGGUACCUGAAGAAUAAGCACCGGCUAACUACGUGCCAGCAGCCGCGGUAAUA